CUCCCAUUGCUUUUUGGUGUGGAACUGCAGGCUCUUUUAAAUUUACUCCGUUCUUUAUUUUUUUAUUGUGUUGGUUCCUACUCUUCAAUUUUUUGGUUUGGUUGAUUUGAACGGCUUCAUUUCCCUCUCUAGUGCCAUUUGAUUUGAAACAUAUUAUUCUGAUGUGAUUUUUGCAUCAAUGAAGUUUAUCGAGGCAAUCUGCUCCGUUGGAGAGCGUGAUUAGAGAUAGUUUAUUAGCCAAGCAACCUGAAGCUUAUGAUUGGUUUUGGUCUGAGCAAAUUCCAGCAGUGGUUACCACCUUUGUGAAUUAUUUUGAGAAGGAUCAGCGAUUUGCUGCUGCUACUACAGUGACCAGAAAGCAAAAAUCUUUGUCCCCUGGAAAUGCAGGUGCUGUAUCACUCCUUAUGCUUGCACUCAGUUGCAUUGCAGCGGUUAUGAAACUUGGUGCUGCAAAACUGUCGUGUACACAAUUUUCGUCUGUUAUUCCAGACACACUUGGAAGAUUGAUGAACAUGCUUGUCGAAUUUAUUCCUCUCCGACAGGCUUAUCAUUCCGUGAAGCCUAUUGGUCUGCGUAGAGAAUUUCUUGUCCAUUUUGGUCCCAGAGCUGCAGCAUGUA